UGUUCAGUGCUUACCGCCGUAACUAUAAAGAGGAAAAAGAGUCAUAAAUCCCUCAUUUUGCCUUCCUUUUCUUCUUCUUCCUCAUGUCUCCGUUGAGCUCCUUGAUCUCCACCUUCAUCAAUGCUACAUAUGUGAUCUUUGCGCCCCUGGAUUCCUCCCCCAAGCUUGAGGGGAUGAUGAAGCCGAAGGCCGGUGUGUCCCGAGGCCAUAGGAAAAGCUCUGUUUAGGCGACCCGGGCCGCCGAGUGGAAGCGGGAGAGAGAUGCCAACAAAGAAGAAGAAGACCAACAAGACCACCGGCAAGUGGUUUCCCUCAGCCGCCUCAGAGGUGGAGGAUAGAAGGCUAAAGACAGGGGGUCGUUUCCGGAGAACUUGGCAUAUCAGAUACCUGCAAAGGGAGAAGUCCAUCCAAUGUACGCCGGCUCCACCAAGAUUUUUUCGAUCAUGGGUUUGCUUUCCCCUACUCAAAUUCAUUCCGGGGCUCCUAUUUUUCUUUGGUUGUCAGCUUCAUCACUUGACGCCAACUGGAAUUCUCCAUGUUGCCAACUUCAUUACCUUCUGCGAGUGCUAUCUUGGGACAGCUCCUUGCUUUGAGUUAUUCCACCAUCUUCUGCAUUCUGGUGCAGAUGAAUGGCAUGGAAAGGCCAUUCGUGCCCUCGGAGGGUUGAGCCUUCAGCUACGGCCGUCCUCCAAAUUCUUGUUUGUGUCAUCUCCCAAGUCUCUGCGAGCGUGGCACCAGAACUAUCUUUAUGCCUCCAGCCUCAGUAGCAGCCUGCCGGCCUUCGUCGGUGGAGCUACAAGGCGACUUCGCUCCUGGGAUUCCCUUGACAUCCUUUCUAAAGACACCCGGUUGCUUGUUGAUGCCAAAACACGCCUGAAGACCGACGGCUUGGAAGGGAUCCACAUCUUGAGGACCUUGGUGCAACGCUGUGUCCUCCAUGUGUGAGCCCUAGAGGCGCUGAUGUAUUCAUACAAGGGGCGAGAGGAUCCCAUGCGGGUUUACCCUCAUGAGCUCGAGAAAGAGGAGGUCCACAUUGGAUUAGUCUUCUAGCUGGCCUGGAUGCCGAUGCGGUUUCCAUGGAGGUCGAGGUGGAGCCCUUCUACCAUGACGCUACCCCCAAGCGAGUGCUUUGCAGAUUUUGCCGCUUUUUGAUCGAAGCCCUCGCUUCCGGGCCAGGAGCUUGACCCAGUCAUGUUGUGGCUACUGGAGCCCACGCCAUUGGAGGUCCCGAAGGCGGGCAAGGCCUCUCCCAAGAAGAGAGGCAUGGUUGUUGCGACCUCCAUAGAGGGAAGAGGGACAACCGAACAACGAGGCCGCCCUUGUUGACGAUGUUACCCCUCCUCUCGAGGAUAGGGCGAGGCUGCCGCAAGUACCAUCGGCGAGGUCGAUGAGGCAGCCUUGCUGGAGGAGGUCACCAUGUUGGAGGAGACAAAGGAGACAUUGAACAGGCCAGGGAGCAGUGUUGAGGUGGGCUCCACUGGUCCUGGCACAAUGGGCGCGUUGCCAUUGGGGGUGCCAAAGUUUCGCGAGCCCAUGGGGUGCCGGAGCCCCCUUCUACGAUCCUCAUCCUGGUGGACGUGCCGCCGCCGCCGAGGAAAUGAAGAGCUCUCCUGGCAGGGUCCCGGCGGGACUAAGGGCAUCUCCAACGCGGACCCGUAAACCUCCCUCAACCGUCCGGAUUGGGUUGUCCGGACCGCAGAAGCCAACUAACAUGGCCCUGUAUCGGUCUGCGGAGUGGUCCAGACGCGAUUUCUCCCGCAAACCGGACACAAAAGUGGGGGAGGUUUACGAGAGUCUAUACCGAUCUCAAGCCCAUUUCUGACCGGCCUGGCCUACCAAAACCCCCUCACCCCUCCUGCGCUUUUUCGGCCAGCGCUGCUCCAGAGUGUUAGCGCCCGCAUUCAUUCCCGCCCAGAGCAGACGCGGCCGCUCACUGGCGCCGGCAUUGAAGCGGCGCGCCGGCCGCGGCGCUUCCCGACACAGGCGACUGUCGUGCGUUCAAACGACACGACGACCGCCCGUCGCCGGUCUGCCGCCCGCAUUGAUGGCACGCCGUUGCAGAGGCAUCUCCUCCUGUGCCACCCCUUCGUUUGUCUACCACCCACCGGUGCUAUAUAAAUCGCUGCCCCGGUGCCCCGGUCAUAGCCAUAGGCAUCCCUCUCCACACCACUCCCCGCCAUGGAUCCCUCCGCGUCCAGAGCUCUCUGGGACAGGCUGACGUUGGAGCAGAGUCGGCCAUGGCCGCCAUGUUGGGGAAUGUAGUAAUUUCAAAAAAAAAAUCCUACGCACACGCAAGAUCAUGGUGAUGCAUAGCAACA